rnacentral:misc_RNA from 1 species
UCAUACCAGAAAAUAUGCUACCUAUCCUACCCGGAAACCUACAUUUAAAAUUGAAAAAAUGGCAAAACAAGCACACCGAUACAUUCGCUCCACGGUUCUCACACAUAACCCGGGCGCAAAGGCCUACACUAGAGAGACGUCCCGGGACGCCUCCGACACCCGAGUUUCGCAUACAACUUUCACACUCUAAUACAAGAGAAUGUUACUACUCACGGGUAUAAUAAAUACCCGCGAUCACUAUACUCGCCGAAAAUUCUACGUAUACAACCAAUCACCCGUGUCGAUUCGGACCUUUCAUCCUACGACAUGAUUGAGUGACCGGAGGGACGAAAAGC